rnacentral:lncRNA from 1 species
GGAACCGCAGGAAGCUGAGUCUGUUUAGUACACAGCUGAUCAGAGUCGGCUGGGUUGAAGCCGCAGGACCAACUUCUAAGGGAGGGAAGGGCAGGAGUGCAGAGCCCGGAGUCCACAUCCGAGACCCCUAAGUCAAAGACAUUUCAACUACCCUCAACUCACCCUCAACUACUGGAAAAAUGCUGGCCACGCAUCUGGCUUCGUCAUCCCCUUGGAGUUCCUUCUGAUCUCCCUGCCUUUGGCAGCCUGGCUCCAGUGGAAUGUGCCCGCUGUGGUACCUACCAAGUUCAAGGAGAGGUCCUGGCGGUCCACCAAGACGCGCUGCUUUAGGUCAGUAAGACUUCGGACUCUGGCCCCACCCACAUCUGGAUGACCACGCCUCCUAACCUGUCCCCACGCCCUUACUCCUCCCUUUCAAGCCUUGUCCACUGGGGUGGAGCGGGGAUUGGUCAGGUUCCCUACAAUAGUCCAGCCCUCGGCAUUCUCCAUUUUACCUCUAACUCUCAGGGGGCCAGGGAAGCAUCUCUGCUCAGGAGAGCCUGCUCCACCUGACUCGGUGCGACAGAGGCAAAAUCUCCUGAGCUUUUUUCUAGGGCUCCCACCUUGCUCCCGACUCCUCUGGUUUCCAGCGAGGGGUCAGGGCAGUGGCUCUUGGGAGGAAUAAAACGGUUGGUGUGUUUUCCUCC